AUUGAACGCUGGCGGCAGGCCUAACACAUGCAAGUCGAACGAGUGGCGGACGGGUGAGUAAUGUCUGGGAAACUGCCUGAUGGCGGGGGAUAACUACUGGAAACGGUAGCUAAUACCGCAUACCAUCGGAUGUGCCCAGAUUGGAUUAUCUAGUAGGUGGGGUAACGGCUCACCUAGGCGACGAUCCCUAGCUGGUCUGAGAGGAUGACCAGCCACGCUGGAACUGAGACACGUUCCAGACGCCUACGGGAGGCAGCAGUGGGUAAUAUUUCACAAUGGGCGCAAGCCUGAUGCAGCCAUGCCGCGUGUAUGAAGAAGGCCUUCGUGUUGUAAAGUACUUUCUGCGGGGAGGCGUUACCCGCAGAAGAAGCACCUGCUAACUCCGUGCCAGCAGCCGCGGUAAUUC
rnacentral:rRNA from 1 species